rnacentral:rRNA from 1 species
AGGAAAGUAGGGGAUCGCAAGACCUUGNCGCUUUUGGGGCGGCCGAUGUCUGAUUAGCUAGUUGGUGAGGUAAAGGCUUACCAAGGCUUCGAUCAGUAGCUGGUCUGAGAGGACGACCAGCCACACUGGGACUGAGACACGGCCCAGACUCCUACGGGAGGCAGCAGUGGGGAAUUUUGGACAAUGGGGGCAACCCUGAUCCAGCCAUGCCGCGUGAGUGAAGAAGGCCUUCGGGUUGUAAAGCUCUUUCAGCCGGAACGAAAAGGUUACGGUUAAUACCCGUGACUAAUGACGGUACCGGAAGAAGAAGCACCGGCUAACUACGUGCCAGCAGCCGCGGUAAUACGUAGGGUGCGAGCGUUAAUCGGAAUUACUGGGCGUAAAGCGUGCGCAGGCGGUUUUGUAAGUCAGAUGUGAAAUCCCCGGGCUUAACCUGGGAACUGCGUUUGAAACUACAAAGCU